rnacentral:rRNA from 1 species
UACGAAGGGGGCUAGCGUUGUUCGGAAUUACUGGGCGUAAAGCGCACGUAGGCGGCUUUGUAAGUUAGAGGUGAAAGCCCAGGGCUUAACCCUGGAAUUGCCUUUAAGACUGCAUCGCUAGAAUUGUGGAGAGGUAAGUGGAACUCCGAGUGUAGAGGUGAAAUUCGUAGAUAUUCGGAAGAACACCAGUGGCGAAGGCGACUUACUGGACACAUAUUGACGCUGAGGUGCGAAAGCGUGGGGAGCAAACAGG